rnacentral:rRNA from 1 species
UACGAAGGGGGCUAGCGUUGCUCGGAAUUACUGGGCGUAAAGCGCACGUAGGCGGCUCUUUAAGUCGGAGGUGAAAUCCUGGAGCUCAACUCCAGAACUGCCUUCGAUACUGAAGAGAUCGAGUCCGGGAGAGGUGAGUGGAACUGCGAGUGUAGAGGUGAAAUUCGUAGAUAUUCGCAAGAACACCAGUGGCGAAGGCGGCUCACUGGCCCGGUACUGACGCUGAGGUGCGAAAGCGUGGGGAGCAAACAGG